rnacentral:rRNA from 1 species
GCUCAGGAUGAACGCUAGCUACAGGCUUAACACAUGCAAGUCGAGGGGCAUCAGGAAGAAAGCUUGCUUUCUUUGCUGGCGACCGGCGCACGGGUGAGUAACACGUAUCCAACCUGCCCUUUACUCGGGGAUAGCCUUUCGAAAGAAAGAUUAAUACCCGAUGGCAUAAUGAUUCCGCAUGGUUUCAUUAUUAAAGGAUUCCGGUAAAGGAUGGGGAUGCGUUCCAUUAGGUUGUUGGUGAGGUAACGGCUCACCAAGCCUUCGAUGGAUAGGGGUUCUGAGAGGAAGGUCCCCCACAUUGGAACUGAGACACGGUCCAAACUCCUACGGGAGGCAGCAGUGAGGAAUAUUGGUCAAUGGGCGCUAGCCUGAACCAGCCAAGUAGCGUGAAGGAUGAAGGCUCUAUGGGUCGUAAACUUCUUUUAUAUAAGAAUAAAGUGCAGUAUGUAUACUGUUUUGUAUGUAUUAUAUGAAUAAGGAUCGGCUAACUCCGUGCCAGCAGCCGCGGUAAUACGGAGGAUCCGAGCGUUAUCCGGAUUUAUUGGGUUUAAAGGGAGCGUAGGUGGACUGGUAAGUCAGUUGUGAAAGUUUGCGGCUCAACCGUAAAAUUGCAGUUGAUACUGUCAGUCUUGAGUACAGUAGAGGUGGGCGGAAUUCGUGGUGUAGCGGUGAAAUGCUUAGAUAUCACGAAGAACUCCGAUUGCGAAGGCAGCUCACUGGACUGCAACUGACACUGGUGCUCGAAAGUGUGGGUAUCAAACAGGAUUAGAUACCCUGGUAGUCCACACAGUAAACGAUGAAUACUCGCUGUUUGCGAUAUACAGUAAGCGGCCAAGCGAAAGCAUUAAGUAUUCCACCUGGGGAGUACGCCGGCAACGGUGAAACUCAAAGGAAUUGACGGGGGCCCGCACAAGCGGAGGAACAUGUGGUUUAAUUCGAUGAUACGCGAGGAACCUUACCCGGGCUUAAAUUGCAGUGGAAUGAUGUGGAAACAUGUCAGUGAGCAAUCACCGCUGUGAAGGUGCUGCAUGGUUGUCGUCAGCUCGUGCCGUGAGGCGUCGGCUUAAGUGCCAUAACGAGCGCAACCCUUAUCUUUAGUUACUAACAGGUCAUGCUGAGGACUCUAGAGAGACUGCCGUCGUAAGAUGUGAGGAAGGUGGGGAUGACGUCAAAUCAGCACGGCCCUUACGUCCGGGGCUACACACGUGUUACAAUGGGGGGUACAGAAGGCAGCUAGCGGGUGACCGUAUGCUAAUCCCAAAAGCCUCUCUCAGUUCGGAUCGAAGUCUGCAACCCGACUUCGUGAAGCUGGAUUCGCUAGUAAUCGCGCAUCAGCCACGGCGCGGUGAAUACGUUCCCGGGCCUUGUACACACCGCCCGUCAAGCCAUGGGAGCCGGGGGUACCUGAAGUACGUAACCGCAAGGAUCGUCCUAGGGUAAAA